rnacentral:rRNA from 1 species
ACGCUGGCGGCGUGCCUAACACAUGCAAGUCGAGCGAGGAAUGUCGGAUAGCUUGCUAUUUUGAUAUUUCUAGCGGCGGACGGGUGAGUAACACGUAUCCAACCUGCCGAUGACUCGGGGAUAGCCUUUCGAAAGAAAGAUUAAUACCCGAUGGCAUAAUUCUUCCGCAUGGUAGAACUAUUAAAGAAUUUCGGUCAUCGAUGGGGAUGCGUUCCAUUAGGUUGUUGGCGGGUAACGGCCCACCAAGCCUUCGAUGGAUAGGGGUUCUGAGAGGAAGGUCCCCCACAUUGGAACUGAGACACGGUCCAAACUCCUACGGGAGGCAGCAGUGAGGAAUAUUGGUCAAUGGACGAGAGUCUGAACCAGCCAAGUAGCGUGAAGGAUGACUGCCCUAUGGGUUGUAAACUUCUUUAUACGGGAAUAAAGUGAGGCACGUGUGCCUUUUGUAUGUACCGUAUGAAUAAGGAUCGGCUAACUCCGUG